AGUUAGACAACGAGUUUCUUGAAAGUGACUUUAUGUGUGUCAGUCAACGUAACAGUUAAGCAGAGUUACCUAGUUUCUAAAGUGUAUACCUACUUUGUGUUGUUUAAUAACAAACAGCGCGUAUUUAAAGAAUUUUCAGAAUAUCGUCUGAAUAGGAAGUCCUGUUUUAAAUAACCGGAAAAUGACGUGUAGAAACAAGAUGACAAAUUGGACGCAGCUAUUUUUGUUUUUCUUUUCAUAUAAUAUAAUAAUGUUUACCGGAACAGCCGCUUCUGUGCAAGUUCCGAAAAUAAAAUUGAAUAAUGGAAUCGAAAUGCCUGUGCUUGGACUAGGAACA